rnacentral:lncRNA from 1 species
UUGGGGCCGUCCCUAUUCUCAGCUCGAUCCCGGGUGACCAUUGCUCCUCCGGACCCCGUGUGGACCGGAUCCCUGCUCGCCUGGAGCCUUAUAUUCCGCGGCCCAUCUUCAGCGACUACUGCCCUGGGUCUCUCUGGUGUCGGUGGUCUCCUCCCUCCGCAUCUCUGAUUCCGCGUCUCUCCGCGUCUUGGCCGGGACUCUGCGCUCCCACGCUCCUGCCAUCCCCUGGGAAGCUCGCUGACACUUCCAGGUUCCUGCCACCUCCCC